AACGAACGCUGGCGGCAUGCCUAACACAUGCAAGUCGAACGAGACCUUCGGGUCUAGUGGCGCACGGGUGCGUAACGCGUGGGAACCUGCCCUUAGGUUCGGAAUAACUCCCCGAAAGGGGUGCUAAUACCGGAUAAUGUCUUCGGACCAAAGAUUUAUCGCCUUUGGAUGGGCCCGAGUUGGAUUAGCUAGUUGGUAGGGUAAAAGCCUACCAAGGCGACGAUCCAUAGCUGGUCUGAGAGGAUGAGCAGCCACACUGGGACUGAGACACGGCCCAGACUCCUACGGGAGGCAGCAGUGGGGAAUAUUGGACAAUGGGCGAAAGCCUGAUCCAGCAAUGCCGCGUGAGUGAUGAAGGCCUUAGGGUUGUAAAGCUCUUUUACCCGGGAUGAUAAUGACAGUACCGGGAGAAUAAGCUCCGGCUAACUCCGUG
rnacentral:rRNA from 1 species